CCCAGGUACCGAGGAGAGACCCCCAAGUACCGGGGUGAGACCCCCAGGUACCCGGGAGAGACCCCCAGGUGUGGGGGAGAGACCCCUGGGCACUGGGGUGAGACCCCCAAGUACCCGGGAGAGACCCCCAAGUACCCGGGAGAGACCCCCAGGUACCGGGGUGAGACCCCCAAGUACCGGGGAGAGACCCCCAAGUACCGGGGAGAGACCUCCAGGUGUGGGGGUGAGACCCCCAAGUACCGGGGUGAGACCCCCAGGUACCGAGGUGAGACCCCCAAGUACCCGGGAGAGACCCCCAGGUGUGGGGGUGAGACCCCCAGGUACCGGGGUGAGACCCCCUGGUGUGGGGGAUAGAGGGGGAGAGGGGGGAGGCGAGUGUGCAAUAGGAUCUGAGUGUGCAAAGAGAUCUCGGUGUGUAACGGGAUCCGAGUGUGCAAUGGGAUCCAGGUGUGCCGCAGGAUCCAGGUGUGCAACGGGAUCCAGGUGUGCAAAGAGAUCUCAGUGUGCAACGGGAUCUCAGUGUGCAAAGCGAUCUCGGUGUGCAAGGGGAUCUCAGUGUGCAACAGGGUCCGAGUGUGCAAGGGGACCUGGACAUGGGAAUGUGAUGGGAUCCGAGUGUGCAAGGGGAUCCAGGUGUGCAACGGGAUCCAGAUACGGGACUGCAAUGGGAUCUGAGUGUGCAACGGGAUCCGAGUGUGCAACAGGACCUGGACAUGGGAAUGUGAUGGGAUCUGAGUGUGCAAGGGGAUCCAGGUGUGACGGGAUCCAGGUGUGCAAGGGGAUCCAGACAUGGGAAUGUGACGGGAUCCAGGUGUGCAAAGGGAUCCAGGUGUGCCACACGAUCCAAGUGUGCCACAGGAUCCAGGUGUGCCCCAGGAUCCAGGUGUACAAAGGGAUCCAGGUGUUCCAUGGGAUCCAAGCGUGCCACAGGAUCCGAGUGUGCAAGGGGAUCCGGACACGGGAAUGUGGUGGGAUCCAGGUGUGCAAAGAGAUCCAGGUGUGGAAAGGGAUCCAGGUGUUCCACAGGAUCCGAGUGUGCAAGGGGAUCCGGACACGGGAAUGUGAUGGGAUCCGAGUGUGCCACGGGAUCUGAGUGUGCCACGGGAUCCGAGUGUGCAAGGCGAUCCAGAUGUGGGGCUGCAAUGGGAUCUGAGUGUGCAAGGGGAUCCAAGUGUGCCACAGGAUCCGAGUGUGCAAAGGGAUCUGGACAUGGGAAUGUGACGGGAUCCAGGUGUGCAAAGGGAUCCGAGUGUGCAAGGGGAUCCGGACAUGGGAAUGUGACGGGAUCCAGGUGUGCAAAGGGAUCCAGGUGUGCAAAGGGAUCCAGGUGUGCCACAAGAUCCGAGUGUGCAAAGGGAUCCGGACACGGGAAUGUGAUGGGAUCCGAGUGUGCCACGGGAUCCGAGUGUGCAAGGGGAUCCAGAUGUGGGGAUUCAAUGGGACCUGGACAUGGGAAUGUGAUGGGAUCCGAGUGUGCAAAGGAAUCCAGGCGUGCAAGGGGAUCUCGGUGUCCAAUGGGAUCCCGGUGUGCAAGGGGAUCUAGACACAGAAAUGCGAUGGGAUCCGAGUGUGCAAGGGGAUCUGGACAUUGGAAUGUGGUGGGAUCCGAGUGUGCAACGGGAUCCGAGUGUGCAACGGGAUCUGGGUGUGCCACAGGAUCCGAGUGUGCCACAGGAUCCAGGUGUGCAACAGGAUCUGGACA